GUGCUCGCUUCGGCAGCACGUAUACUAAAAUUGGAACGAUACAGAGAAGAUUAGCAUGGCCCCUGCGCAAGGAGAGAUACAAGAACAUAUU
rnacentral:snRNA from 1 species